UGGUUACUCCCGGAGCAGAGUGCAAGGAAAGGGCUACACCACAACAGGUUGCUGAUUACACCCUCAAGCUCCUCGGCCGAAGAAUUCCCCCUGCAGUCCCUGGAAUCAUGGCAUGUAUCCUAAAACCUCACUGUCAUACAGACAAAUAUAAUAUACAUUUAUAAUCAUUAACUUACGACUAAAUCAUUCAUUUGUUUUGGAAAUGAUCAGUUUUUGUCUGGUGGGCAAUCUGAAGUGGAGGCUACUCUGAACUUAAAUGCGAUGAACCAAUCUCCCAACCCAUGGCAUGUGUCCUUCUCAUACGCAAGAGCCCUUCAGAACACUUGCCUCAAGACCUGGGGAGGAAGACCUGAGAACGUGAAGGCUGCUCAGGAUGCUUUGCUUUUACGGGCAAGUGCAAACUCUCUUGCCCAGCUUGGAAAAUACACUGGUAAAGGAGAGUCCGAGGAGGCCAAGAAAGAAUUGUUCGUCAAAGGCUACGUCUACUAAGCUGUCUGAGCAGAAGCUAUAGGUGUAGAUGAUGAAAGUCCGAUGUAUUACGAUGACAAAUUGCAUUAAGAUUAUAGCCAAUUAAGAGACAUGUACUUUGAACAAUUUAAUAAGUUCUUGCAUUGCAG
rnacentral:lncRNA from 1 species